CACGUAGGGGGCGAGCGUUGUCCGGAUUUAUUGGGCGUAAAGAGCUCGUAGGCGGCUCAGUAAGUCGGGUGUGAAAACUCCAGGCUCAACCUGGAGACGCCACCCGAUACUGCUGUGGCUAGAGUCCGGUAGGGGAGCAUGGAAUUCCUGGUGUAGCGGUGAAAUGCGCAGAUAUCAGGAGGAACACCGAUGGCGAAGGCAAUCCCCUGGGCCUGCACUGACGCUCAUGCACGAAAGCGUGGGGAGCAAACAGG
rnacentral:rRNA from 1 species